rnacentral:rRNA from 1 species
AUUGAACGCUGGCGGCGUGCUUAACACAUGCAAGUCGAUCGGUAACAGGUGUAGCAAUACAAGCUGACGAGAGGCGGACGGGUGAGGAACGCUUGGGAAUCUGCCUAUCAGCGGGGGACAACCCGGGGGAACCCGGGCUAAUACCGCAUACGCUCUACGGAGGAAAGCCGGGGACCGCAAGGCCUGGCACUGAUAGAUGAGCCCAAGUCGGAUUAGCUAGUUGGCGGGGUAACGGCCCACCAAGGCGACGAUCCGUAGCUGGUCUGAGAGGACGAUCAGCCACACCGGAACUGAGACACGUGCCGGACUCAUACGGGAGGCCGCAGUGGGGAAUAUUGGACAAUGGGCGAAAGCCUGAUCCAGCGACGCCGCGUGGGUGAAGAAGGCCUGCGGGUUGUAAAGCCCUUUCGGUAGGGACGAAAGCUCUUGCCCUAACAAGGCAGGAGGUUGACUUAACCUACAUAAGAAGCACCGGCUAACUCUGUGCCAGCAGCCGCCGUAAUAC